rnacentral:rRNA from 1 species
UACAGAGGCCUCGAGCGUUGUUCGGAAUUACUGGGCGUAAAGGGAAUGUAGGUGGUGACGUAAGUCAGAUGUGAAAGCCCUGGGCUUAACCUGGGAAGUGCAUUUGAUACUGCGUUGCUGGAGUGCGAGAGAGGAAAGCGGAAUUCCAGGUGUAGGGGUGAAAUCCGUAGAUAUCUGGAGGAAUACCGAUGGCGAAGGCAGCUUUCUGGCUCGUAACUGACACUGAGAUUCGAAAGCGUGGGUAGCAAACAGG